AUGGCGCCCAUCAAGCUGUACGGGAUGAUGCUGUCGGCCAACGUGACCCGCGUGACCACGCUGCUCAACGAGCUCGGCCUCGAGUUCGACUUCGUCGACGUCGACCUCCGCACCGGCGCCCACAAGCACCCCGACUUCCUCAAGCUCAACCCUUUCGGCCAGAUCCCCGCGCUGCAGGACGGGGACGAAGUUGUCUUUGAGUCGCGCGCCAUCAACCGGUACAUCGCGACCAAGUACGGGGCGGAGCUGCUGCCGACGCCGUCGGCCAAGCUGGAGGCGUGGCUGGAGGUGGAGUCGCACCACUUCUACCCGCCGGCGCGCACGCUGGUGUACGAGCUGGUCAUCAAGCCCAUGCUGGGCGCCCCCACCGACGCGGCCGAGGUGGACAAGAACGCCGCCGACCUCGCCAAGCUGCUCGACGUCUACGAGGCCCACCUCGCCGCCGGCAACAAGUACCUGGCCGGCGACGCCUUCACGCUCGCCGACGCCAACCACAUGUCCUACCUCUUCAUGCUCACCAAGAGCCCCAAGGCGGACCUGGUGGCCUCCCGCCCGCACGUCAAGGCCUGGUGGGAGGAGAUCUCCGCCCGCCCCGCCUGGGCCAAGACCGUCGCCUCCAUCCCCCUCCCGCCCGGCGUCUGA
rnacentral:rRNA from 1 species